GCCUGGGUGGCUCAGUCGGUUGAGCAUCCGACUUCGGCUCAGGUCAUGAUCUCACGGUCCGUGAGUUCGAGCCCCACGUCGGGCU
rfam:Felis catus isolate Cinnamon breed Abyssinian chromosome C1, whole genome shotgun sequence.